UACGGAGGGUGCAAGCGUUAUCCGGAUUCACUGGGUUUAAAGGGUGCGUAGGUGGAUUGGUAAGUCCGUGGUGAAAUCCCCAAGCUUAACUUGGGAACUGCCGUGGAUACUAUCAAUCUUGAAUAUCGUUGAGGUAAGCGGAAUAUGUCAUGUAGCGGUGAAAUGCUCAGAUAUGACAUAGAACACCGAUAGCGAAGGCAGCUUGCUAAGCGAUUAUUGACACUGAGGCACGUAAGCGUGGGGAGCAAACAGG
rnacentral:rRNA from 1 species